GGAGCUUGCUCCCUUAGGUCAGCGGCGGACGGGUGAGUAACACGUGGGUAACCUGCCUGUAAGACUGGGAUAACUCCGGGAAACCGGGGCUAAUACCGGAUGCUUGAUUGAACCGCAUGGUUCAAUCAUAAAAGGUGGCUUUUAGCUACCACUUACAGAUGGACCGGCGGCGCAUUAGCUAGUUGGUGAGGUAACGGCUCACCAAGGCGACGAUGCGUAGCCGACCUGAGAGGGUGAUCGGCCACACUGGGACUGAGACACGGCGCAGACACCUACGGGAGGCAGCAGUAGGGAAUCUUCCGCAAUGGACGAAAGUCUGACGGAGCAACGCCGCGUGAGUGAUGAAGGUUUUCGGAUCGUAAUACUCUGUUGUUAGGGAAGAACAAGUACCGUUCGAAUAGGGCGGUACCUUGACGGUACCUAACCAGAAAGCCACGGCUAACUACGUGCCAGCAGCCGCGGUAAUACGUAGGUGGCAAGCGUUGUCCGGAAUUAUUGGGCGUAAAGCGCGCGCAGGCGGUUUCUUAAGUCUGAUGUGAAAGCCCCCGGCUCAACCGGGGAGGGUCAUUGGAAACUGCGGAACUUGAGUGCAGAAGAGGAGAGUGGAAUUCCACGUGUAGCGGUGAAAUGCGUAGAGAUGUGGAGGAACACGAGUGGCGAAGGCGACUCUCUGGUCUGUAACUGACGCUGAGGCGCGAAAGCGAGGGGAGCGAACAGGAUUAGAUUCCCUGGUAGUCCACGCCGUAAACGAUGAGUGCUAAGUGUUAGAGGGUAUCCGCCCUUUAGUGCUGCAGCAAACGCAUUAAGCACUCCGCCUGGGGAGUACGGUCGCAAGACUGAAACUCAAAGGAAUUGACGGGGGCCCGCACAAGCGGUGGAGCAUGUGGUUUAAUUCGAAGCAACGCGAAGAACCUUACCAGGUCUUGACAUCCUCUGACAACCCUAGAGAUAGGGCUUCGCCUUCGGGGGCAGAGUGACAGGUGGUGCAUGGUUGUCGUCAGCUCGUGUCGUGAGAUGUUGGGUUAAGUCCCGCAACGAGCGCAACCCUUGAUGUUAGUUGCCAGCAUACAGUUGGGCACUCUAAGGUGACUGCCGGUGACAAACCGGAGGAAGGUGGGGAUGACG
rnacentral:rRNA from 1 species